ACCUCGCUUCAGCGGCAGGUGUGCUGUGAGAUUGGGACGAAGCAGAGAGGAUCAGCAUGCCCCCUGUGCAAGGCUGACACGCAAAUCCACGAAGUGUUCCCUAGUUUA
ensembl:snRNA U6 U6 spliceosomal RNA